UUGAAAUGCAUGGAGUAAAAUGUGUUUUUUGCUUUUUAGUAUAAUAUUUAAUUAAGCUUUGUGCACAUGUUGGUGCAUUAAAUCUUGAAUACAUUUGUAUGCUUUUGUGUUUAAAAUAACACGCGCCCGAGCCGGGUCUCAAUGCUCUAGUUCUCUUUUCUAGAAAGAUUCCUAAUCCGCUCCCAUCCUGCACGUGCUUUCGCUAAUCUCUUAUAAUUUCAUUUUAGCAUUAAAUAUAAUUAGAUGAUCCGUUAUUGUGCAUGGGUAUUGGUGGUAUUUUUGCUUAUUUUUUUAUGCAGAUGAAUGACUUUGCUGAAGUUAUGGCGCACAUUUACUCUCCCCUGCAGCCAUUUUGGGUCUCUCAGUGAUGAUAACUUUCACAGACCUGUACUGAAAUACUGUGAUUGCACCCAUUUUAUCUGAUGAGAGACCCUUUUUCCACCUGAUUUAAAUCCUAUGUUUGGUAGAUAGUGUGAACAGUGAUUUCUCUCAGGUGUCCACAUGGCUGACCAGGCCUAACCAUGUGUUCUUGUUGUUGCAGCUUGUUGGUGGACACUGCUGCAGCUGGACAGUUUCUUUGAUUUCCUGGUCCAGUUUUUGUGGAUAAAAUGAAAGAUGCUUGUCUCAAACUUGUCAAUGGCCCUAUGUGCAGUUGGCCCCACACUACAUGUCUAUUCACAUGUCGUUGAAAGACUUGUGAUGCUGUGUAAGGUGAAGACCGAUUGGUGAACAUGGCUUUGUCCAGACCAGUGAUGUUUUGCCUGCAAGACUGAGGAUGCCUUCAGAAUGGAGGAUAUGGGACAUGAAGAUGCUGGAGCAGCCCUGGAUCAGGUCCUCUCUCUGCUUUCACUGUAGAACUGAGCAACUUGAACUUGAUUGAUCAUGCAGAAGCUCUGACCAGAGUACUUUGUGCCAAAUUGAAAUCUUGGCUCAUGGGUUCAUUUGAUGUCCUGAUAAUGGAUUGUGUUUAAGAGAACUUGACUGACUACUGUGGAUUUCAGGGUUGUCUGGGCAGUUUGUCUUAAACAGCUGAAAGUCUGGAUGAACUGGGUACCUUUUUUUAGAGAAGGUUUUCUUGAUCAGGAUAUGGGACCUGAAGAUGCUGGAGCUGCCCUGGAUCAGGUCCUUGUGCUCUUCUGCUCUCAUUGUGGAACUGAGCAACUUGGUGCUGGAGGCCAUGGGCAUGUGAAGCUGUGUCUGCCAUUGUCAGAACUUUAAUAAAGUGUAUUGAGUGUA